UUUACCUGCAGAGGCAUGGAUUGUGGAGUCAAUCGUAAUAGUAGCUUGAUGUAAACUAAGAGGUAAGUCACUGAUAAAGAUCGAAAACAACAAUGGCCCCAGAGUGCUCCCUUGUGGCACCCCACAGCUCACUACCAGUUGCUCAGAGUAACUUCCAUUGAAAUAUACUAUAUUUUCCUAUUAGAAAGCUGCUCAUCCAUGUUAUGACAGUCGAUUCAAAUCCAUAGCACUGCAACUUAUCCAAUAACACAUCACGAUCUAGUACAUCAAAGCUGCACUUAAGUCACUGCACCAACUAAUUUUUUAUUAUCUAUUUCUGUCUUCCAAUCAUCAGUCAUCUGCGCAAGUGUCAUGGCUCUGCUUUUUCUCUGCUGCUGUGCUCUUAAGUGUUUGCAGGUGAGCAGGCUGGAGAGUCACAGCUGCAGCUGAUUACCAUCAGCCAGGCCAGAGGAUAUAAGGAGCGGUGUUGCCACACUUCAGUGCCGGUUGGUACUCUAUUGUUGGGUACUCCAGCGCUCCUUGCUCCUGUUUGAAUCUAGCCUUAUGUUCAUUUUUUUUCCUCCCCUGUGCUCAGUUUUAUCCUCCUUGUGUGCUCCAGUACCAGCCCUGGAUUCUUGCCUCUGCUUCCUGCUGCCAGAAGUGGAUUAUUACCCAACGCCACUAACUCCUCUGGUCUCCUGCUCACCUGUCCUGGAUUACUCUACUGCCUGCUACUCCUCUCCACCAGACAAUCUCUGGCUCAGAUCUGACUUGCCUCCCUCUCCUGCUCAAACCCCCACUUCACACAAAUCGGAAUACUCGCCCUGGCUCAGUUUGGAUCAGCGCUCUUCGUUCUUGUUAAUUUUCUUUAUAAUAAAACAUUUAUAUUUUA